AUAACUUAAUACAUGUUUCAGUGUAAUACCUCACAGGUGUGUGAUUCAACUAGAGUUUUUCUUAACCCUUAAUGAAUAGCCGCGUUAUUAGAUCAAGUGUUUAACUGGAGAGCUCAGAUUACGGGUUGCGGAGGUCAAAAACAAAAUACAGCAAAUAAUCGGUAACAGUUUUCGUUUCGAUAUGUACUAUGGUUUGGAAUCGUUUUACUUACAUAUUCACAUUGACAACCACAGUAACCCGUCGCUGGCAGCGUCGACAACUAGCUACCAGUGAUAAGGUUAGCCAGCACAAGGGGUUGCAUCGAUGUUACAGUCAACCAGGUGCACUCUGCCUGACGUGGUAGCUGUUCAUGGACCCUCCCUAUGAAGAAACAAGGUUACAAUGGGACAAAGUACCUCAGAUCAAGAGGUCGAAGGAGACACCACUGAGGACACACUUAAAAACAUCAAGACAUUUGUGGAGGAUGAACUACAGACAAGCAUGGUA